rnacentral:rRNA from 1 species
UACAGGGGGUGCAAACGUUGCUCGGAAUCAUUGGGCGUAAAGCGCACGUAGGCGGUUCGUUAUGUCGGAUGUGAAAGCCCUUGGCUUAACCGAGGAAGUGCAUCCGAAACUGGCGAGCUAGAGUACGAAAGAGGAUCGCGGAAUUCCCGGUGCAGAGGUGAAAUUCGUAGAUAUCGGGAGGAACACCGGUGGCGAAGGCGGCGAUCUGGGUCGAUACUGACGCUGAGGUGCGAAAGCGUGGGGAGCAAACAGG